GAUGCAGCGACGCCGCGUGAGGGAUGACGGCCUUCGGGUUGUAAACCUCUUUCAGUAGGGAAGAAGCGAAAGUGACGGUACCUGCAGAAGAAGCACCGGCUAACUACGUGCCAGCAGCCGCGGUAAUACGUAGGGUGCGAGCGUUAUCCGGAAUUAUUGGGCGUAAAGAGCUCGUAGGCGGUUUGUCGCGUCUGUCGUGAAAGUCCGGGGCUUAACCCCGGAUCUGCGGUGGGUACGGGCAGACUAGAGUGCAGUAGGGGAGACUGGAAUUCCUGGUGUAGCGGUGGAAUGCGCAGAUAUCAGGAGGAACACCGAUGGCGAAGGCAGGUCUCUGGGCUGUAACUGACGCUGAGGAGCGAAAGCAUGGGGAGCGAACAGGAUUAGAUACCCUGGUAGUCCAUGCCGUAAACGUUGGGCACUAGGUGUGGGGACCAUUCCACGGUUUCCGCGCCGCAGCUAACGCAUUAAGUGCCCCGCCUGGGGAGUACGGCCGCAAGGCUAAAACUCAAAGGAAUUGACGGGGGCCCGCACAAGCGGCGGAGCAUGCGGAUUAAUUCGAUGCAACGCGAAGAACCUUACCAAGGCUUGACAUGUUCUCGAUCGCCGUAGAGAUACGGUUUCCCCUUUGGGGCGGGUUCACAGGUGGUGCAUGGUUGUCGUCAGCUCGUGUCGUGAGAUGUUGGGUUAAGUCCCGCAACGAGCGCAACCCUCGUUCCAUGUUGCCAGCACGUAAUGGUGGGGACUCAUGGGAGACUGCCGGGGUCAACUCGGAGGAAGGUGAGGACGACGUCAAAUCAUCAUGCCCCUU
rnacentral:rRNA from 1 species